rnacentral:lncRNA from 1 species
CAAUGCCUUGGCGCCUUUCUGUCGCAGAGAAAAGCUGUGCGAGAUUUAGAGAAUGCUCCUCCAACACCCUUCUCUCUUUCUCAGGUCUCAUCCCUCCAACCGGAUGAUGCAGCAGCGGCCGCAGAGAAGAGAAAGAAAGAAAGAGGAAGAAGAAGAGGAGGAGGAAGAGGAGGAAGAAGAAAACUCCAAUUAUAUAUUUCAAUUGCAUAGACUAUUACAAAAUGAUUUUUCUGUGAUAAGUUCUUUCUCUGGAUGAGGAUCGCGUUCUUUCUCACAAGUCCUGGAUCAUUGCAUUGCUGCUAGUAGAGAAGUCCAUUACAUUCUAUUGUGCCACAGUGUAUUAGUCUCUGUGUACAAUGUUCUCCUGGUUCUGCUCCUUUCACUUUGUAUCAAUUUCUGGAGGUUGUUCCAGUUCACAUGGAAUUCCUUUACUUUAUUAUUUCUUUGAGCACAAAAGUAUUCCAUCACCAACAGAUACCACGAUUUGUUCAGUCAUUCUACAGUUGAAGGGCAUCCCCUCAUUCUGCCAUAGAAUUUUUAAAAAUAGUCUCUAGAAUAUUAUCAAAGAUGAUUUGCAUGGAAGAUGUGGAAUGAAAUCCAGGAAGGUGUCUAUUAAUGACCAUGAAGGAUACCAGAUGAACUGUUUGAGUGAUACAUUGGUAUCCCUGAAAUAUUAACUUAGAACAAUGAUUUUUCAAAGGAUAGUUUUGAGGUUGGUCCCCCCCCCCCGGGUCCCCAAGACCCUUUCAUGGGGUCUAUGAGGUCAGAACUAUGAGAUGAGGAAGGAUGUGGCAAUCCACUUUAGUGUCUUUUCCAUGAAAACUCUAAAUGGGUCUAUUUGUAUCUGAUACAACUAAUAGAGAUGGAAAAUGAACAGGAUCCAGAAUUGAAUAGGAAGAAGAAAGUAGACUGGAUUUCUUUGGGAAAUUGUAAUAUUCCUUUAAUGACCUUAAACUUCUCAUGAAAGCAAAGACCCCUACUUUAAAUGCCAU